UAGGGAAUAUUGCACAAUGGGCGAAAGCCUGAUGCAGCAACGCCGCGUGCGCGAAGAAGGCCUUCGGGUUGUAAAGCGCUUUUCUGGGAGAUGAGGAAGGACAGUAUCCCAGGAAUAAGGCUCGGCUAACUACGUGCCAGCAGCCGCGGUAAAACGUAGGAGCCAAGCGUUAUCCGAAUUCACUGGGCGUAAAGCGCGUGCAGGCGGCCUGAUAAGUUGGAUGUGAAAUCUCCUGGCUCAACUGGGAGAGGCCGUUCAAUACUGUUGGGCUAGAGGGCGACAGAGGGAGGUGGAAUUCCGGGUGUAGUGGUGAAAUGCGUAGAUAUCCGGAGGAACACCAGAGGCGAAGGCGACCUCCUGGGUCGCACCUGACGCUCAGACGCGAAAGCUAGGGGAGCGAACGGG
rnacentral:rRNA from 1 species